ensembl:lncRNA
GCCAUGGAAUGAGGAAGCAUAAAGCCACCCGGUGAGGGACGGGUGACACUUUGGACAGUCAUAGAGUCUUCCAUGCUUGGCAGUGCCAGCAAUGCAAGAGGAUCAUUCAUAGCUAGUUUUCUCCAAGCCCCUAAACUUGAAAGAGUUUGUAAGGAGGGAGGAAGCCUGAUGAGCUUCUGUGUUUUCUUUUACUUCCAGACCCUCACACCCUUGAAUCUCAAGGCUGAGAGGAUUCAGAAUCAAACCUCAUCAUCUGCCUAAGCGGUGCACACCUGGCCAUAACAUUAGCUGUGCAAAAGCAGGUGCUUCUCAGGAGCAACAAGUCUGUAGAGCGAGCGGUCACCUCUAACUCCGAGAUGGACCCAUAGGGCAUCUCUGGGCUCUGAGCGCCUACCUAGAGGGGAAAGCUGCGAAGAGCCAGUCUUGUCCAACCCCAUCUUCCCAGACAAUGGCCCUGGUAGAGGUGAGCUGUUGGUGAAAUGGAGUAGAAAAGCCACCUUUCCAACGAGGCCUUGCUGGACUUGGAGAGGCUUCCGGAACAUGCUGAGGAGGGAAGGAGAUAAGUCACUGUGCAGCCCACACAGGACAGACCCCCUCCAGUCUGCCCCAGCAUGGCCGGGAAUCCGCCUCAUUCUGUCAUAUCCUCACCUGCGUCUGUAACCAUCAACCUCUGGGCUUGACACAGCCCUGGAUGAAGGCCAGCCACGGCUACAGAGCCAGGCUGGGACUUGCUUGUCCCUGACGUCGCAGGCUGCAUCGGGAGCAGAAGCAAUCAUGGUCUCAGGGAGCUCAGGGCUUGCAUCUCCUAUUCAGGCUGAACGGUCCCGUGCAAAUGCUCCCUGGAGCUUGGGGCUUCAGGUGGAUUUCCUAGCGCCUCUCAGCAGAAUGGGGACAACUCCUAGCAUCCAGCCCAGGCCUACUGUAUGCCCAGGCCUUCUCAAGCAGAACACGUGGAGGACACUCCAGGGAAAGCCACCCAGCCCACUUCCCGCCCGCUCUGAGUGUCGGCUGCUGGAAGUCGCCUUGCCAUCAAGAGGCCAGUGAAAGGAGCCAGAGGCCACCGAGAUGUGACCAGGUGCAUGGACUCUCUUUCCCACGCUAGAUAAAGCGACCAUGGCAACCCAGGACACAUCUGGAGACAGACUGCCACCAGGACACGCCCCAUGGCCACCUCCUUGUCUCCCAGGACACCCAAGCCAGAGGAACCAGCACAGACGUCUGCACCAAGCCAUCGGGCAGGACACACGUGCUGCCCUUUUAGGGAUGCAGGCUCUUUUUCAUUUUAUUUAUUGGUUUGGAAUUAAAUGAAUAACUUCCAGUCCUGCUCUACCGAUUAGCAGUGCGGGAUCUCAGGGCAGUUGAAUCG